GCGGUUUAAAUAGGGAGAGUGUGGCACCGGAUCCCAUCAGAACUCCGAAGUUAAGCGUGCUUGGGCGAGAGCAGUACUAGGAUGGGUGACCCCCUGGGAAGUCCUCGUGUUGCACCU
rnacentral:rRNA from 1 species